rnacentral:rRNA from 1 species
CUACGGAAGGCAGCAGUGGGGAAUAUUGGGCAAUGGGCGAAAGCCUGACCCAGCCACGCCGCGUGCAGGAAGACGGCCCUCUGGGUUGUAAACUGCUUUUGACUGGGAAGAAAGAAGCCCUUGCGAGGGAAGUUGACGGUACCAGUCGAAUAAGCCACGGCUAACUACGUGCCAGCAGCCGCGGUAAUACGUAGGUGGCGAGCGUUAUCCGGAUUUAUUGGGUUUAAAGGGAGCGUAGGCGGCUGAUUAAGUCAGCGGUGAAAGGUAGCAGCUUAACUGUUUUACAUGCCGUUGAUACUGGUUAGCUUGAGUUGACAGAAGACAGAUAGAAUUUCUGGUGUAGCGGUGAAAUGCUUAGAUACCAGAAGGAAUACCGAUUGCGAAGGCAGUCUGCUGCAGUCACACUGACGCUGAGGCUCGAAAGUGCGGGGAUCAAACAGGAUUAGAUACCCCGGUAGU